rnacentral:rRNA from 1 species
GAUAACCUCGGGAAACUGGGUAUAAUACCCGAUAGGUCUCGAUUGCUGGAAUGCAUCGAGAUUUAAAGCUCCGGCGCCUAAGGAUGGGUCUGCGGCCUAUCAGGUAGUAGUGGGUGUGGCGUACCUACUAGCCUACGACGGGUACGGGUUGUGAGAGCAAGAGCCCGGAGAUGGAUUCUGAGACACGAAUCCAGGCCCUACGGGGUGCAGCAGGCGCGAAAACUUUACAAUGCUGGCAACAGCGAUAAGGGAACCUCGAGUGCCAGGUUACAAAUCUGGCUGUCGAGAUGCCUAAAAAGCAUUUCAUAGCGAGGGCCGGGCAAGACCGGUGCCAGCCGCCGCGGUAACACCGGCGGCUCGAGUGGUAACCGUUAUUAUUGGGUCUAAAGGGUCUGUAGCCGGCCGGAUAAGUCUCUUGAGAAAUCUGGCAGCUUAACUGUCAGGCUUUCAGGAGAUACUGUCUGGCUCGAGGCCGGGAGAGGUGAGAGGUACUUCAGGGGUAGGGGUGAAAUCUUGUAAUCCUUGAAGGACCACCAGUGGCGAAGGCGUCUCACCAGAACGGACCUGACGGCAAGGGACGAAAGCUAGGGGCACGAACCGGAUUAGAUACCCGGGUAGUCCUAGCCGUAAACGAUACUCGCUAGGUGUCGGCCACGGUGCGACCGUUGUCGGUGCCGUACGGGAAGCCGUGAAGCGAGCCACCUGGGGAAGUACGGCCGCAAGGCUGAAACUUAAAGGAAUUGGCGGGGGAGCACCACAACGGGGUGGAGCUUGCGGUUUAAUUGGAUUCAACGCCGGAAAUCUUACCGGGACCGACAGCAAUAUGAAGGCCAGGCUGAAGACUUUGCCGGAUUAGCUGAAAGGUGGGUGGCAU